rnacentral:rRNA from 1 species
CCUACGGGGGGCAGCAGUGGGGAAUAUUGGGCAAUGGGCGCAAGCCUGACCCAGCAACGCCGCGUGAAGGAAGAAGGCUUUCGGGUUGUAAACUUCUUUUCUCAGGGACGAAGCAAGUGACGGUACCUGAGGAAUAAGCCACGGUUAACUACGUGCCUGCAGCCGCGGUAAUACGUAGGUGGCAAGCUUUAUCCGGAUUUAAUGGGUGUAAGGGGCGUGUAGGCGGGACUGCAAGUCAGAUGUGAAAACCACGGGCUCAACCUGUGCCCUGCAUUUGAAACUGUAGGUCUUGAGUACGUGAGAGGCAGACGGAAUGCGUAGUGUAGCGGUGAAAUGCGUAGAUAUCAGGAGGAACACCAGUGGCGAAGGCGGUCUGCUGGACAAUAACUGACGCUGAGGCGCGAAAGCAUGGGGAGCAAACAGGAUUAGAUACCCGUGUAGUC